rnacentral:rRNA from 1 species
AGAGUUUGAUCAUGGCUCAGAACGAACGCUGGCGGCAGUAACACAUGCAAGUCGAACGCGUGUAGCAAUACACGAGUGGCGCACGGGUGAGUAACGCGUGGAUAUCUGCCUUUUGGUUCGGAAUAACCCCGGGAAACUGGGGCUAAUACCGGAUGGUUCCUUCGGGAUAAAGAUUUAUCGCCAAAAGAUGAGUCCGCGUACGAUUAGCUAGUUGGUGAGGUAAUGGCUCACCAAGGCGACGAUCGUUAGCUGGUCUGAGAGGACGAUCAGCCACACUGGGACUGAGACACGGCCCAGACUCCUACGGGAGGCAGCAGUGGGGAAUAUUGGACAAUGGGGGCAACCCUGAUCCAGCCAUGCCGCGUGAGUGAUGAAGGCCUUCGGGUUGUAAAGCUCUUUUGGCGGGGACGAUGAUGACGGUACCCGCAGAAUAAGCCCCGGCUAACUUCGUGCCAGCAGCCGCGGUAAGACGAAGGGGCUAGCGUUGUUCGGAAUUAUUGGGCGUAAAGCGCGUGUAGGCGUUCCAAGUUGGGUGUGAAAGCCUUGGGCUUAACCCCAAGAAAUGCACUCAGUACUGGAAGACUAGAGGACCGGAGAGGAUAGUGGAAUUCCCAGUGUAGUGGUGAAAUACGUAGAGAUUGGGAAGAACACCAGUGGCGAAGGCGGCUAUCUGGACGGUUUCUGACGCUAAGACGCGAAAGCGUGGGGAGCAAACAGGAUUAGAUACCCUAGUAGUCC